AUCCAGCUGAUCAGUUCCAAACAGAACAAAACGCGCGUCCUAGAU
rfam:Schistosoma curassoni strain Dakar, Senegal genome assembly, scaffold: SCTD_scaffold0013853